GUGCUCACUUUGGCAGCACAAAUAUGAACAUUGGAAUGAUACAUAGAAGAUUACCACGGCCCCUGCGCAAGGAUAACACGCAAAUUCAUGAAGCUUUCCAUAUUUAG